rnacentral:tRNA from 1 species
GGUAACAUGGCCGAGCGGUCUAAGGCGCCAGGUUAAGGUAUUCCUUAACGAUUAAUUCCUGGUCAUGGUUUCAUGGCGUGAGUUCGAAUCUCACUGUUAUCA